UGGGGAAUAUUGCACAAUGGGCGCAAGCCUGAUGCAGCAAUGCCGCGUGAGUGAAGACGGCCUUAGGGUUGUAAAACUCUUUCGCUAGGGAAGAUAAUGACGGUACCUAGUAAAGAAGUCCCGGCUAACUCCGUGCCAGCAGCCGCGGUAAUACGGAGGGGGUUAGCGUUGUUCGGAAUUACUGGGCGUAAAGCGCACGUAGGCGGACCAGAAAGUUGGGGGUGAAAUCCCGGGGGCUCAACCCCGGAACUGCCUCCAAAACUAUUGGUCUAGAGUUCGAGAGAGGUGAGUGGAAUUCCAAGUGUAGAGGUGAAAUUCGUAGAUAUUUGGAGGAACACCAGUGGCGAAGGCGGCUCACUGGCUCGAUACUGACGCUGAGGUGCGAAAGUGUGGGGAGCAAACAGGAUUAGAUACCCUGGUAGUCCACACCGUAAAACGAUGAAUGCCAGUCGUCGGGUAGCAUGCUAUUCGGUGACACACCUAACGGAUUAAGCAUUCCGGCCUGGGGAGUACGGUCGCAAGAUUAAAA
rnacentral:rRNA from 1 species